rnacentral:rRNA from 1 species
GAUGAACGCUAGCGGCAGGCUUAAUACAUGCAAGUCGAGGGGCAGCAUGAUUGUAGCAAUACAAUUGAUGGCGACCGGCAAACGGGUGCGGAACACGUACACAACCUUCCAAUAAGUGGGGAAUAGCCCAGAGAAAUUUGGAUUAAUACCCCGUAACAUAACGAUGUGGCAUCACAUUGUUAUUAUAGAUUUUUCGCUUAUUGAUGGGUGUGCGGCUGAUUAGAUAGUUGGCGGGGUAACGGCCCACCAAGUCUACGAUCAGUAGCUGAUGUGAGAGCAUGAUCAGCCACACGGGGACUGAGACACGGGCCGGACUCCUGCGGGAGGCAGCAGUAAGGAAUAUUGGACAAUGGACGCAAGUCUGAUCCAGCCAUGCCGCGUGAAGGAUUAAGGUCCUCUGGAUUGUGAACUUCUUUUAUAAGGGACGAAAAAAGGCUUUUCUAAGUCGUCUGACGGUACCUUAUGAAUAAGCACCGGCUAACUCCGUGCCAGCCGCCGCCGUAA